GCGCUAAUAGAUGACCUAAGUCAGAUUAGCUAGUUGGUGGGGUAAAGGCCUACCAAGGCGACGAUCUGUAGCGGGUCUGAGAGGAUGAUCCGCCACACUGGGACUGAGACACGGCCCAGACUCCUACGGGAGGCAGCAGUGGGGAAUAUUGGACAAUGGGGCGAAAGCCUGAUCCAGCCAUGCCGCGUGUGUGAAGAAGGCCUUUUGGUUGUAAAGCACUUUAAGCGAGGAGGAGGCUACUUGGAUUAAUACUCUAGGAUAGUGGACGUUACUCGCAGAAUAAGCACCGGCUAACUCUGUGCCAGCAGCCGCGGUAAUACAGAGGGUGCGAGCGUUAAUCGGAUUUACUGGGGCGUAAAGCGUGCGUAGGCGGCUUUUUAAGUCGGAUGGUGAAAUCCCUGAGCUUAACUUUAGGAAUUGCAUUCGAUACUGGGAAGCUAGAGUAUGGGA
rnacentral:rRNA from 1 species